AAAAAAAAUUUAGGGCCCAGUUGAAUAAAUAACCAAAGCCUAAAGAAAAUAAUUAGGAGGCCCAAUCGGAAUAAAAUAACAAAGCCCAAUGAAUUAAUUAAAUUAGGCCCAAUGAAUUAAUUAAAUUAGGCCCAAUGAAUUAAACUAAAGCCCAAGCAAAAUAAUUGAAUUAGGCCCAAUUAUAAUAAAUACAACAAGGCCCAAAAAUAAAUAAUUAUGAAGCCCAAA
rnacentral:lncRNA from 1 species